rnacentral:lncRNA from 1 species
AUUUUUAUGGUCAGGUUUAGAGAGUAGUCAGCACUUAGCAGUAGUCUGUCUUGUCAAAACACAGAACCCAAACAGUUGGCUCUCCGAAAGCUGCAGCAAUAUUGCUGUGUGUACCCCUUGCACAGACACGAGCCGAAAGGUGUAGGCCACCUCUCUCAUGACUGCGAGCCACUCUUGACGAGUCCGGAGCCCAAAUAUUGUGUAAUGAGAUUCAAGAGAUUAAACUAUGGCGAAGAAAAACGGAGAGACAAAAAUAGGUAUAACGCAUCUAUUAAUGCGCUAUGUCCCUUUUUUUUUUAAUAGAUGGUGUUAACGUCCCUCUUUCUUUUUCUUGAAAUCCACAUGGCACAGCAACAACAGUUAAAAGGAAAUUAAUGUACUAAAUUGGAAACAGGUUUCUGGGUGAUGCAAUGGUGAAAAGCUAGGUAUUAAUUAAUUUUGGCCUGAGGUCCAUGGUUCGAUUCUUUCCACCAACAAUAUUUUGAGAAAUUUGAAAGUCCUGUUUGACAGGAAAACAAUAAAUAUGUACCAGGGCUUUGAUGAGGAGGAUGAGGCAAUGUAUUUGGUGAAGAUAGAAUUAGGUAAGGAGGUUCGUCCGUGGAUGACGUGGUAUGUUUCAAUGGCAACUCCCUUCCUCUUUACCGGAUAGUGUUGGUAGCAUAAUGGCUGUAUUCGGUUUUGGUUUUGGGUCUAUUUGGGUCUGUGGUUUCGGUUCUGAAGGUGGAACCGGCCCGUGACGGUUCCGGGUACCUUCCGGUUCCGGUUCCCGGCGGUUUUGAAUUUUUUUUUUUUAAAUCAAUAUCUUGCAUAGUAGUCAUUAGUAUAUUGUAGAAUAUAUUUUAUAUGGUGUACUAUGUUAUUAGCAUAGUAUAUAUUGUGUAUAAGUAGUG